CUUUACUGACCUAUAUCUUCUCAGUUGAUUCGCGCAGCAGAGCAGAUUGCUGUGCCUCAGCUGUGUUACUCCUCAGCAAUAACGCGGAAGAGUGUUAAUUCAAUUACCUGUGAUGUCAUAAACCUUCCCAUCCAUCAUGGCAAAGUAUGUGAUCUUCAAUCCCAGCAUGCUGGAUUCCGCCCAGAAGUCACCUUCCUCAGCUGCAUGAAAUUUACUACAUUCUGCACAGUAUCGGCCAUCCAAUGGGUCACGAUCCAUCUCAAACCUCCUGCAGCAAAGAAUUUCAGAGUUUAGAAAGCACCAAAUUAGAGAAAUGAAUGUAGACUCUGCAAAGUCAUGAUCCUGCUGCUUGUGUAGUCUAGCUGACAUCCUGUUGCACCAGUGAAGAGAUAAUGACAGCUGGCCACUUACUUGUGCUUCCCUUGGCACUUGUUACACUUCAUUGUGUUCAUGACUUCCUUCAGAUCAUCCUGAAGCUUGGAAAGGAAAUCAUUCAUAGACUUCGUCAGCUCUGUCUCUGCCAUGCGCUUUCUGAAAAAAAAAGAAAGAUGGAGAAAAGCAAAAAUGGGUUUUUCAUUCAAUACACCUUGAAGAUUCAGGCUGGAAUUUUACAGGCUGAGAAAUGAACUGCAAUCCUCAGCAUCUCCAGACAAGAAGAUAAGAUAAGUUGAACCAAAUUUCCACACAUCCUGCUCCCUUGAUAGCCAAGAAGGACUCCAGUUGAGGGACACAAUGAUAACUGAAGUCUUCUUGAAUCAUUACUCAGUGGCUGCCUGAGGCUUUGAUCUAGUAGAUGCCUCACAGGGCAGGUUCUUUUCCUAUUAAAAGUUGUCUCUUGA